CCUACGGGUGGCAGCAGUGAGGAAUAUUGGUCAAUGGGCGCGAGCCUGAACCAGCCAAGUCGCGUGAAGGAUGACUGCGCUACGGGUUGUAAACUUCUUUUAUAAAGGAAUAAAGUGAGCCACGUGUGCCUUUUUGUAUGUACUUUAUGAAUAAGCAUCGGCUAACUCCGUGCCAGUAGCCGCGGUAAUACGGAGGAUUCGAGCGUUAUCCGGAUUUAUUGGGUUUAAAGGGAGCGUAGAUGGGUUGUUAAGUCAGUCGUGAAAGUUUGCGGCUCAACCGUCAAAGUGCAAUUGAUACUGGCAGACUUGAGAAGAGGUGAGGUAGGCGGAAUUCGUGGUGUAGCGGUGAAAUGCUUAGAUAUCGCGAAGAACUCCGAUUGCGAAGGCAGCUUACUAACGUGCCACUGACAUUGAUGCUCGAAAGUGUGGGUAUCAAACAGGAUUAGAUACCCGUGUAGUC
rnacentral:rRNA from 1 species